UACGUAGGGACCAAGCGUUGUUCGGAUUUACUGGGCGUAAAGGGCGCGUAGGCGGCGUGUUAAGUCAGCUGUGAAAUCUCCGAGCUUAACUCGGAACGGUCAGCUGAUACUGAUGUGCUAGAGUGCAGAAGGGGCAAUCGGAAUUCUUGGUGUAGCGGUGAAAUGCGUAGAUAUCAAGAGGAACACCUGAGGUGAAGACGGGUUGCUGGGCUGACACUGACGCUGAGGUGCGAAAGCGUGGGGAGCAAACAGG
rnacentral:rRNA from 1 species